rnacentral:ncRNA from 1 species
UUAUGAAACAUUGUAUAUAUUAGAAGAUAAGGUUCUAACGUCUCUACCCGGUUACCGUAAAUAAUCGGACUACAAUCAUAAUUUAA